CGAGGCAUCACACGGUGCUUAAGGCUACAAGAAUCCCCAAGCUAACCAUUUUAGCCAUUUUUCUACCAUUCAACACUUAUAAUCAAAGUCAUCAUAAUCAAAACAUAUAAACAUCCUCCAUAAUAUCAUACUGCAAUACAAAUAAAAUACGGAAAGUAACAAAAUACGACAUCUCUGACAAAUCUAAUCAAUCUAUCAAUCUAGUCUGACAAGCCUCUACUAAACUAUAUAUCCA
rnacentral:lncRNA from 1 species